GCUGCUGGGGGCCCUGGCCCGCUUCCCAGGUUGGCGGGAGCAGACGGUGGCCAUCCUCCGACCCGUCGAUGGUCUGGCACAGCUCUGAUCAUCUUUUCGCUCUUCCUCAGGCUGGAGGGAGCGGCGGCUGCAGCCAGUUACUCCUGGGUUUUUUGUUUUUGUUUUUUGUUUUUGGCAAGAGGAGGCUGCUCAAAGCGAGAGUUCGCGAAAACCUGAUGGAUGGGAACUCUGCCCACGCCGAAAAUCCUUAUCUUUUUGUUUGUUUGCUUACGAAGCACGUUACCCAGAGUGUCUGCCAAGCCAGGUGGAAGUGGAGGGUGGACACGGUAUCUGGAUCCCCCUCCCAGGGCCCAGGGCCGACUCUGCAGCGCCCUCUGCCGCAGGCUCCGCCUCCACCGUCUGCGUGCCCUCCGGUCACCUCAGGGACCCUCCUUGGAGAUGCAGAACACAGUUAACGGUGAAGCUCCGCUUAAUAAGGACUAUUGUCCAGGUCACAGCCUCUCAGAUGCCUCUGAGGAGCUAUUCUGAAGAGAUGGGGAGAGAACGAGGCAAAACCCAUCUAUGGUGACAGGAGUCUUGGAAGGAUUUGCUCUUGUGUUGAGCAGUCCCAGUGUUUAUAAGGAGUCAAGAGACAGCAAGAGGAAACUCUGGGGACCAAGGGCUCCCCUGCCUCCCCAACAUAUUCCUUCAGGAAAGAAGGUAAGAUUGAGUCAUGAGGACAUGAGUGUCAGCAUUGAAAACGCUUAGGAUUGUGGGAUUCACAGGACAGAGUGCAGUAGGACACACCAUAAGAGAGGAAAAAAUAAGGCAUUUUGUAUAAUUGAUGAGCAUCAAGAACAAAACAAAACAGGUUGCUCAGUCCCAAUGCCCGCUGAGAAGUGGAAAAAUGCUUAAUAAGUUGCCAAACAUCAAUAAUAGAAACAGUUAUCAACAGGGUUAUGACUUUUAACUCUGUCAACACACAUAUGCCUUUAGCAAAAAGGCAUUAGAUCAGAGACCAAAUAAGCCAACAGAACACUGCAAACAAUGUUUCCAUGUUAAUUAUUAUAACCCAUACCCAGACAUUGCUUCUUUAUAGUCACACACAUGUAUCCUGACCAAAACACAACCCAUUGUGACCUUAAUGAGCUAAUCAUUUUGGUCAGUGCUGAAAUCAUCACAAAUUCAGGUUUAAUUGUAAUUUUAGUCCAUAAUGGAGAGUAUAAUUUAGAAUUAUCUACUAAAUACAAUGCAAGAAUGAUUCUCAUUUUUUUUUCAGCUAUAAUAAUAUCUAUGUGUAUUUUGUCUUCUUCUUUGAAAAUACAUUGUUCAUAGCAGCUUGGGUAACAAGAUGACAAUACAAUUAGUUCCGAAGAAGUUUGUGAGUCACUUUGUCAUAUCUGAGCCAGUAUAAGUUUAUUGGCAUCAAAUAUGCAGAUAAGUUUUAAUAUUUAUUAUUCUUUAGAGAAAAAAACAAAGUCAGAAACUGAACAUAAAUUUAUAGACUUGUUAACAUGUGAUGCAUGCUCAGUCACUUCAGUCAUGUCCGACCCUUUGCGAUCA